rnacentral:rRNA from 1 species
UACAGAGGUCCCGAGCGUUGUUCGGAUUCAUUGGGCGUAAAGGGUGCGUAGGCGGCUUGCUAAGUCUGAUGUGAAAUCCCGGGGCUCAACCCCGGAACUGCAUUGGAUACUGGCAGGCUUGAGUACUGGAGAGGGAACUGGAAUUUACGGUGUAGCAGUGAAAUGCGUAGAGAUCGUAAGGAAGGCCAGUGGCGAAGGCGAGUUCCUGGACAGUGACUGACGCUGAGGCACGAAGGCCAGGGGAGCAAACGGG